rnacentral:tRNA from 1 species
GGGGAUUUAGCUCAGUGGUACAGCACCUGCCUCAUAAGCACAAAGUCAUGAGUUCAAUCCCCA